rnacentral:rRNA from 1 species
AUUGAACGCUGGCGGCAUGCUUUACACAUGCAAGUCGAACGGCAGCGCGGGCUUCGGCCUGGCGGCGAGUGGCGAACGGGUGAGUAAUACAUCGGAACGUGCCCAGUAGUGGGGGAUAGCUCGGCGAAAGCCGGAUUAAUACCGCAUACGACCUGAGGGUGAAAGCGGGGGAUCUUCGGACCUCGCGCUAUUGGAGCGGCCGAUGGCAGAUUAGCUAGUUGGUGGGGUAAAGGCCUACCAAGGCGACGAUCUGUAGCUGGUCUGAGAGGACGACCAGCCACACUGGGACUGAGACACGGCCCAGACUCCUACGGGAGGCAGCAGUGGGGAAUUUUGGACAAUGGGCGAAAGCCUGAUCCAGCAAUGCCGCGUGUGUGAUGAAGGCCUGCGGGUUGUAAAGCACUUUUGGCGGGAACGAAAAGGACUGUGCCAAUACCACGGUUCGAGGACGGUACCCGCAGAAUAAGCACCGGCUAACUACGU